AAAGUAGAGGGGUGAUCCGCGUGGGGGCACACAAUCUCUCAGAAGACAUUUCAGUCUGAACCGGAGUUGUCACCUCUGUUGGUCACCGCCACCCCGUGCUCUGCGGGGGAGGCGGUGUAGCAGAGGGAUAACAGGAUGAAGAAAAUGUUCAUACGACACCUUCUUAUAAGGCGACGUCCUGAAAGUUGCGAGCGAGGAUCGUUGCUUAAAUCUGCACAAGGAGCAGUUUUCCUAUGAGGAAACGUCAAGAAGCCGUUUAAUAUUGUUUAAUUAUAUAUCAACUAUUAUACGUUAUAAACAAAUUAUUUUAGUCAUCCCUACUAUAGUCAUAUUAUAUUAUUAUUACUAUUGUAAGAACUAGGAUUAGUGUGUUAAAAUUACAAAUAAUGUAUUGAAAAUAUGUAAGUAAUAAUUUUAAUUCACAUUUAAACUUUGGUGGAUGCAAAACGUUAUCGGUUGCGGCAUGCUCAAGCCAAAUACCAUCUUUCUACCGCUUCGAUAAGUCCUGUAUCCUUCACGAUUUGUUUUUGUCUCUGUAAUCACUAAGUACACCUACCACAACGAUGUUAUUUGAUAAGCUUUAUUCAUUUUCAUAGGUUAAGUUAAAUUUUGAACGUAUAUUACGUUUAAAAGGAAUAUUUAUCUAUAUUAUCUAUUAUAUCCGUAUACCUGCAUAUCCUUAUAACCAUUUUAAUGUAUUUUGUAAAAAAAGAUCAUACAUGCUUAAAUACAUAACUAUUACCAAAAGAUUUAAA